rnacentral:rRNA from 1 species
AUUGAACGCUGGCGGAAUGCUUUACACAUGCAAGUCGAACGGUAGAGGGGGCAACCCCUCGAGAGUGGCGAACGGGUGAGUAAUAUAUCGGAACGUGCCCAGUCGUGGGGGAUAACGUAGCGAAAGGUACGCUAAUACCGCCUACGAUCUAAGGAUGAAAGCGGGGGAUCGCAAGACCUCGCGCGAUUUGAGCGGCCGAUAUCAGGUUAGGGAGUUGGUAGGGUAAAGGCUCACCAAGAAAACGAACUGUAGCUGGUCUGGGAGGACGACCAGCCACACGGGGAGUGUGCCACGCUCAAGACUUCUACGGGAGGCAGCAGUGGGGAAUUUUGGACAAUGGACGCAAGUCUGAUCCAGCCAUUCCGCGUGCAGGAUGAAGGCCCUCGGGUUGUAAACUGCUUUUGUACGGAACGAAAAGGUCUCUCUUAAUACGGGGGACUCAUGACGGUACCGUAAGAAUAAGCACCGGCUAACUACGUGCCAGCCGCCGCCGUAA